UCUGUAUAUAUUUUAUGCCAUGGCUAUGAAGUGAACUGAUUUACUGAUAUCGAAGUUCCAGAGAACUUCUUUUACCGAGGUUAGGUUAUCUGUAACGUUUUCUCGUUAUCUUGCGUGUAGUGUGAAGUUGUGUUCAUGAAUCUCGACUAUUGACCGGAUAUUUAUUAUUAUUUUGUCUGUAGUUGCGUUUUUGAUUUUCUCAAUAUUUUCCACUGUUAUUUAAUAGUAUUUGUCAAAUUUCUUCCAACAUCCACAAGUUUAUGGUUAAAAUGAAUAAUAAUUUUACAUUUGUAUGUGUCAAAUAUCGUUCGGUUGUAAGAGAUCCAAUUCUGUAAGUGUAUUGAUUAUAUAAUAUUACCUACUUGUGAGAAUUCAUAUUGUAUUUUAUAAUAUAUUUUAUGUGGUAUUAAACAUUUAUGUUGUUGUUCUGGUCCGUUCAUUGUUAUACUUAAAGUGACCAAUUUAUUUGUAUUUUAUAAAAAACAAUGAAUUUUAAAUUAGGUUUCAAAUUUACAGACAUAUGUAUAAGUAUGACGGUCUAGACGGAAUUUUCACUUCUACGGCUGGGAGGCAUAGUUUACUCAAACAGAUCAAGAGAAAUAGACUUGUAUAUUAUAGAAUUGUGUGAGAGAACAACUUAACACUCGGCCACUUAUAACACUCCGUUUAUUAUGUCGCCUGUUUCACUGAAACGAGUUCUCAUACUGAAUGUUCUAUCUAAACGUUUUUUUUAUGCAAAUACAAUAUCAAGUAACAACGUGUUAUAAAGAUUAUUCCAAACUUUGGAUGUUACAGAAUAUAUUGUUUGUGUUCCUUUUUUUGUGAAAUCCGUAUAUAUCUAUUGUUGAUUAUUUUGUAAACUUUUAGAAUGGUAUUGUUUUAAUUUCUUCUAAACAUUUUUCGCGCUGUGUAUAAAUACUCGAUCCAUGACGUGAAUGUAAAUUAUUUGAAUUAAAUUAUAAAUAUUAUAUUGUCGAUCUGGGUGGUGAACACAUAGAGAUUUUAGGUUAGGUUAGGGGUUAUCAAUAUCAAAUUUACUCUUAUAAUGUAAUAUAUUAAUUGCCCUUUUUGUCGGUCAACAUCACUUAUACUAAGGUUAGAUAGAUUAAGGUAGGUUAAGUAGAUACUUGUAUAGGGUUGCCAGAAAUCUAGAAUUUCAUUCCGGAACGAAUAGAAAAAAUAGCAAAUUAAAUUAGAUUUAAAAUAUCAUUGAAUCAUAUGAGUAGAAAACUAUAUUUUGGCUAUAUCCAACUACUUAUAAUCUAUAAAAUAUAUUAAUAUAAUAAUAUAUUUAAAACAAAAAAUAAACUUUUAUUUUAUAAACUAAAACAAUAAAACAAAAAAUUUAUUUAUUUUUUAUAGAUUAUAAAUUUACUAUAAAAAUAACAUAUAUGUUUUUUUUUUUUUUACUUAUCAAAAAGAUUUUUAUAAAAUAAGUAAUAAGUAAUAGGUAAGUAUUCACUAUUUAGAUAAAUCAGAUUUUGUCAUCAUUGUUUUAUCCCAUAUUCGUUAAAAAUUGUAUCAUUAUCUUUCGAUUACAGUUACGUAUUAUUUGAAAAAACUUUGAAAUUAAAUAAUAUUAAUUUCUCUUAAAACCGGGAUAUAUUGACGUACUAACAUUUAUUUUCGGAACCCUGGUACACCAAGUCAAUAACUAGUUACAGUCCUGGUUUUCCGGAAUGUAUGGCAACCCUAUACUUGUAAGUACGGAUGUAUAGGAUAGACUAAUAGAAUGUUAGAUUAACUAGUAGUAAGUAUUAGUAUCAUAGAUAAUAAAGUUCUUAAUUAUUUUUUUAGUAUCUAUAGCUGUUGAUUUAAUAGAUCUGUUUGUUUUGAAAAUGUGUCGCUGUACACGCUGUUAGUUUUAAAAAUUGUUUGUUUAGUCAUUUAAUAUGUUCACUAUUCACACCAGCAAAUAUGACCGGGUGUUGGAUUGGAUUUUUAGUGUGUUUAUCAGAUUUAUCAAUUAUUAUAAUUUACACACACGUACUAUACAAUUUGAAUUUAACAAACAUCAUAAAAUAGAUUAAAAGAUUAUACCGUUAUGCAUUGAUGAAAUUUUCAAAUUAUUAUUUUAAUUAUCAUUUAUUAGCAAUAAAAGUUUUUAACGGAGCCAUAUUAUGUCAUGUGCUAUAGUGUUAUGAUAAUGGUACGGUUAUUUGCAGAUGUGUGAUUGUUAGAUUUGGAUUAAAAAUCUUACAAUCUGACAUCAAAAUUUGGAAAAUCUAAACUUGGAAACUUGGAAUAAUUAUAACUAUUGCAAUAUGCAUUUAAUGUAUAGAUAUUUUUAAAAAUAAUAACACUUAUAAACACAAUCUUUACAUAAAAUCAACGGAUUAGCUUUAUAAUGUCUUUCUGAAUAAUAUAAUAUAUUGAACUAUAAGCCUUUUAUUUUUUUUUUAAUUCGUUAUGGAUUCAAUAAAAUAUUUAGGUAUGGUUUGGGUUCAAAUAAAAUAUUAUAUGUUUGUUUUGGGUUCUGUUCGACCUUAAGAAUUGAGGUUCAUAACAUCAAUUGUUAAUCAGUAUCAAAAUGUAUACAGCGCCUCUUUUAUUAGAUAGGUACUUGUACAUUUUUUUCAAUUACAUUAUCUAUCUAGUCUAAUUAUUUGAAUUAAUUUUUUAAAAUAUUUGAAAAUUGAAUUUAAGAUGAUAAGAUAACAAUUUGUUUAUUUCAGAUCAAUGAAUUGGUCCUACAGUAGCAGUCGUUUAUGGGAAGCCUUUUAAUAUUCAAAAAUGUAAUUUGUUUAUGGUAAUAAAAGAGAAAUAAUGAAUACAAAAUAUUGUUACAUGAAUAUAAUUAUUCAUAUUGAUGUUCCUUGACCUAACAAGGUAUAUAAUGUCUUGAUUGUUUGCAUUGUAAUUAAUUGAUUCAAAAUGACUGAAGGAUUUUCUAAACUUUCAUAUUGUACUAUUUUGUCUACUAGUGUGCAAUACUUUUCUAGUGUUGACAUUUUUAUAGUUGAACAUAUUUAAUGAUGUGUUUAAAGUAUAUUCAUCAAUUUUACUGUCAAAUAUAUUUUGACUGUCUUGAAUACAAGAUAAAAUUAAAUUCCAAGAACUUGCAAGGUAUAUAUUUGUAGAUCAUUCUAAGCUACCUAAUAAUUAAAACGAUACAAGAUUACAUGUGCAGUUACUAUAAAAGAAACAUAUAAACUAAAUGUGGAACUAUUAUAAAAACAUCAAUUUUCACCUAUUUUAUUUUUAAGGUAAACUAGUUUAUUUGUGUAUUUAGAUGAUAAUGAAUUGAUUUUGAAUCUUAUUUUUUUUUUUUUUAGAAAAUCAUUGAAUUUUAUUUGAUGUUUGUAAGUAAGCCAAAAGAAAAUUAAGAUAUUAAUUAUGGACAACUUGUACAUAAUUAAUUAUGUUUAUCUGGCUCAUGAAAACAAUUUUUAAUGGAUCUUAGUAAGUUUAAUCGCAAUCUAUAAUUCUUUAAAUGUUCUAUUAAGAUAACACAUUUUUUGUUUUAUUUUCAUUUUCAUAGAUAUGUAAUAUUCAUACAUUAAGCUACCUUGAUGUUCGUUUAGAUCAAAUUGUAUAUGCUGACAUUUCAAGAAACAAUUAUUAACUGGAAAGAAAACAAAAAGCUGGUAUUAUUGAAACUAUUUAAUAAUUAUAAGCUGUUUUGGCGAUUAAUAUGUUCAUCAUUAGACAUAGUUAUAUGAUUUUGGUUUAUAGUUUCACAAAAACAAUAUAUCUUUGGUUUUUAAAAAUAAUAUUAAUUGAUAAUACAGGGUGUUCCAUUUAAGUAGAUACACUCAUUAUCUCUGAAAGGAGACUAGUAGUACAUUCUUAAAACACCAUAUGAUGUGCCAUCACACAAAUGAUGCUUCACUACUCUCUCCCUACUCAAACAAAAGUAGAACAUUAUAUCAAUGGGUUGACUGAAAUCAAAAAUUUCAACACCAAAAUCAUUUUAAAUAAUACUAAUUAGUUUUUGAAAAUCAAAAUUAUGUAGUGGUUUUAACCCCACAAAUAAGGGUGACAAAAAAUAAUAAAUGUAAAAUUGUAGAGCUGCUUAUUUCUUAAAUGUUGUGUAAAACAAAUCUGAAAAAAGUUAAUACUUUCAGAGAUCAUGAGUGUACUUUAAUGGAUCCCCUUGUAUACAUUUAAAUUUUAAAGCAUUUAAUUCUUAGGUCUUAGCAUUUAUUUAUUUUUUUUACUGUAUAACGAUUAAAAUUCUUAAGAGUUGUCAAUGUGCUACAAUAUCAUUGCAUUGUAAUUGUUUAAUAGUACUAAGCAAUACUACUUAUAGUUAUAGUUUUAAGUCAAAGAUUAAGUUAGCUGUAGUUUAUAACUUAAAUCAAAACCAUAGUUGGGAAUAUUCUGCACAGCAUAGUUAAAGAAUUGAUUAACAUAAAAGAAUACAGUGACGCAACCAGGGGGGGGGCGUUGGAUGUUUGUACACCUUCCUAUAUCUAUGCUUAAGUCUUAUAAAUGUGUUAAAAGACGAGUUUUUUUUUAAUGUAACCAUAUUAUACCUCUUUCAAAAAAUCCUGGUUGUGUUAGGGAUAGAAUAUGUAGAUGGGUAUCUAAAAUAGGCUGUUGCAUUUCUAAAGGUUGUGAGCCUUGGUAGAUUACUACCAAGUCUAUCUGGUGUACCCAAAGUUCGGUCCCGGCUGAGGCUGAUUAGAUACCCGUCUCUGUCCGGUGAAUGUAGGUUUGGUACCAAAAAAAUAUUGCUUGACUAAAUAAAUUGGCCUAGAGAAUGAAUUAUCUAUUAUUGGUAUUGCAUUUGCAUUGUCUUUUUUUGAUAUUGUAGAUACAAUUACAACUUUGAUUUUGUUAAUUGUAUUAGAGGAAAAAGCGUUGAAAUAAAUUAAACUCCAACUUGAUUAUACAAAUAAUUAAUAGUUUCACUCAAAAUUAUUACAAGUUCAGUAAUAGACUCCUCAAAAAAUAUACAAGGCCAAUAAAUAAUACUCACAAAAAUGUCUAAAUUACAAAUAAUAGAGUGAUGCAAAAUUGCUCGCAUUCGUUCGUGGUGGACUUGUCUGAUUAGACAAUGUUUCAGGCGACGUUAUGUAUGCUAAUACUGUGCCCCCGCAACCCGUAGUUCUUAGUGACUACAAUCUAUAUUUAGCUGCUGCCACCGGAUUAUGGUGACUGCCAAAAUCAAUAAUAAUACAUGUUAUUUUAAUAUACAUAUAUUCAAACUACGUUUUAUGUCUACACUAGUUAUUGGUCCAUAUUUAAAACAAUUUAAUAAAGUAGGCGUUAUAUCUAAAUUAAUAUUUGCUUUACCUGACUUGACUUCAUAGUAAGACUUUAAAGAUUUAUACUCUUCAUUUUUUCC
rnacentral:lncRNA from 1 species